GGCGACCACCGAGAUCUACACUCUUUCCCUACACGACGCUCUUCCGAUCUCGCCCGCCGCGCGCGGCGGGCGGGGCGGGGGCACGGGGGGAGGAAUUGGCGGGGGAGCACCACAACGGGUGGAGCUUGCGGUUUAAUUGGAUUCAACGCCGGAAAUCUUACCGGGACCGACAGCAAUAUGAAGGCCAGGCUGAAGACUUUGCCGGAUUAGCUGAGAGGUGGUGCAUGGCCGUCGUCAGUUCGUACUGUGAAGCAUCCUGUUAAGUCAGGCAACGAGCGAGACCCACGCCCACAGUUGCCAGCGUACUCUCUGGAGUGACGGGUACACUGUGGGGACCGCCGCUGCUAAAGCGGAGGAAGGAAUGGGCAACGGUAGGUCAGUAUGCCCCGAAUAUCCCGGGCUACACGCGAGCUACAAUGGUUGGUACAAUGGGUAUCUACCCCGAAAGGGGACGGGAAUCUCCUAAAACCAAUCUUAGUUCGGAUUGAGGGCUGCAACUCGCCCUCAUGAAGCUGGAAUCCGUAGUAAUCGCGUUUCAACAGAACGCGGUGAAUACGUCCCUGCUCCUUGCACACACCGCCCGUA
rnacentral:rRNA from 1 species